rnacentral:rRNA from 1 species
CCUACGGGGGGCUGCAGUGGGGAAUCUUCCGCAAUGGACGAAAGUCUGACGGAGCAACGCCGCGUGAGUGAUGACGGCCUUCGGGUUGUAAAGCUCUGUUAAUCGGGACGAAAGGUCUUCUUGCGAAUAGUUAGAAGAAUUGACGGUACCGGAAUAGAAAGCCACGGCUAACUACGUGCCAGCAGCCGCGGUAAUACGUAGGUGGCAAGCGUUGUCCGGAAUUAUUGGGCGUAAAGCGCGCGCAGGCGGAUUGGUCAGUCUGUCUUAAAAGUUCGGGGCUUAACCCCGUGAUGGGAUGGAAACUGCCAAUCUAGAGUAUCGGAGAGGAGAGUGGAAUUCCUAGUGUAGCGGUGAAAUGCGUAGAUAUUAGGAAGAACACCAGUGGCGAAGGCGACUUUCUGGACGAAAACUGACGCUGAGGCGCGAAAGCCAGGGGAGCAAACGGGAUUAGAUACCCUAGUAGUC